AUUGAACGCUGGCGGCAUGCUUUACACAUGCAAGUCAAACGGUAACAGGCCUUCGGGUGCUGACGAGUGGCGAACGGGUGAGUAAUGCAUCGGAACGUACCCAGAGGUGGGGGAUAACGCAGCGAAAGCUGUGCUAAUACCGCAUGUGAUCUGAGGAUGAAAGCGGGGGACCGAGCAGCAAUGUUUGGCCUCGCGCCUUUGGAGCGGCCGAUGUCGGAUUAGCUAGUUGGUGGGGUAAAGGCCUACCAAGGCGACGAUCCGUAGCUGGUCUGAGAGGACGACCAGCCACACUGGGACUGAGACACGGCCCAGACUCCUACGGGAGGCAGCAGUGGGGAAUUUUGGACAAUGGGCGCAAGCCUGAUCCAGCAAUGCCGCGUGCGGGAAGAAGGCCUUCGGGUUGUAAACCGCUUUUGGCAGGAACGAAACGGUGUCCGCUAAUACCGGGCGCUAAUGACGGUACCUGCAGAAUAAGCACCGGCUAACUACGUG
rnacentral:rRNA from 1 species